rnacentral:lncRNA from 1 species
GUGUUUUAAUACAAAGCAAGCAAGACGUUCUUUAAGAGACAUGUGACCUGGAGGCUCCAUUUCACUGAGGAUAAACUGAACAUUGAGAACUUAGUAGCCACCACCCAGCUCUUUGAACUACACAGAGAACAUCUGUUCGCGGCCAUCAGUUCCCGCGUGGUGGUGUGUGACUCGGCAAGUUUCUUCAUUUGUCUAUUUUUUCACUUGUAAAAUGAAAUUAAUAAUGGCAACAGCAUCUGUCCCAUGGCUUUGAUGGGAAGAUUAAAUGAGACAAGACCUGUGAAAUACUUGGAACCAACUACUGUGUAAUAUCUGGUACAUGUCAAAUAAAUAUUAAUCAGCUAUACCCAUAUUACUAGAUUUAUCUAUAUAUAAUUCUUCACCCCCUACUUCAAAUUUAAUUUUCCUUAAUGCUAAGGCCUUAGUAUGUGAGUCAAAAUUUUUGUGUCUGAACGUGAUAGAAAAUCCAAAUAAAAUUUUCCAAAAUACCAAAA